GAUUAAGCCAUGCAUGUGUAAGUAUAAAUAAUUCUACUUUGAAACUGCGAAUGGCUCAUUAUAUCAGUUAUAGUUUAUUAGAAAAAUGUACUACUUGGAUAACCGUAGUAAUUCUAGGGCUAAUACAUGAGUAAAUCCUCGACUUUGAAGAGGUGUGUUUAUUAGUAUGAAAACCAUAUGCUUCGGCAUGAUAGUGAGUAAUAAUAACCUUUCAUAUCGUAUGUUGAAAUAACGAUAGUUCUUUCAAGUUUCUGCCCUAUCAGCUUUCGAUGGUAGUGUAUUGGACUACCAUG
rnacentral:rRNA from 1 species